rnacentral:rRNA from 1 species
UACGUAGGGGGCAAGCGUUGUCCGGAAUCAUUGGGCGUAAAGAGCGCGUAGGCGGCCCUGUAAGUCCGCUGUGAAAGUCAAGGGCUCAACCCUUGAAUGCCGGUGGAUACUGCAGGGCUAGAGUCCGGAAGAGGCGAGUGGAAUUCCUGGUGUAGCGGUGAAAUGCGUAGAGAUCGGAAAGAACACCAGUGGCGAAGGCGGCAGCCUGGGUCCAGACUGACACUGAGGUGCGAAAGCGUGGGGAGCAAACAGG